CCGGAGUGAAUGAUGACACACUUCCUUAUUCUUUGCUGAAGAGAAGGGUGGUGGCUUGUGUUCCUCUCAUGUGGGCUGGAGUACUACCAAGCCUUGUCAUUGUUGCAUCCUCAGCCGUGCGUGCGUGCGUGUGUGCGUGCGUGUGUGCGUGCAUGCGUGUGUGUGAGAGAGAUAGAGAUAGAGAUCUACGUUAGAAAGAUGAUAUCUCAAAUCAUCGUUUGAAUAUCCACCUAUUUUAACUUCCACAUCACAGGAGUAUAUUGGGUUAUUGCUCAGCAAAAGAUCCAACUCCAAAGUAUAGGCUUCAUGUUCAUGAAAUAUUUUUUUUUUCCCUUCACCUCACUAAUUAUAAAUGUAUCAAUAUUGGUGAAAUCAUCUUCAGAAGAAAAAAAGUACUUUGAUACAUCAUUAACCAAAUAAUUAUAAUCAAUUACAAUUUUGUUGCGAGAACUCUAGCUGCUGCUAUGGAUACUGACUGCCAGCUUGACGGAUAGACAUGCCUGUGUUUACCUGUUCAUUUGAAGGUUUUUCACCUGUCAUAAGCUAUUUGUUUUUAAUUUGCACUUGUUUUUGCUUAAUUUUUG
ensembl:lncRNA